UUUUCUUAUGUGGACAAAGCAUAGAAUCGAUAAGGUUUUGUCGAACACUGCGUUUAAUCAAUUAUGUUCUUCCUCGCCGUGAUACCAACCUUCGACCGACUCUCUCAACCAAUCUGAGCAGAUCCCAGGCUGAUGUUAGCCCCAUCGUUGGUCGAUUGGUUGUGGUGGAUUUCACAACAAUGGAGUACGUAAACCCAUAAGGUCUUCGAUUAGAUGGUCGCCGAUUCAAUGAGGUAGUAAUGAAAGGCUUCAAAGACUGGGUUUUUGCUCUAUCCAGCUCAAUGGCAUCAUCUAGACCUCUUUUGGGCAGUGACCCUUUUUUCCGUGACCCACAUGAACAAGAGGAUAGCCAGUCUCACGCACCUGCUGCACCAGAACCAGUUACACGCUCGGAAUAAUGGUUCAGUGGUGAAUGCCAAUCAGGUUCAUUGUUAGAGAGUUUGCGGAGGCACAUAUGCCAUGGGUCGACUGUAUCCUCUGUUUAUUCAUUCUCAUUUCCUAGAUUUUUUUCUGAUAUGUUUGUGUAGCAAUUCUUAGUACAAUAGCUUGAUCCAGAAUAUUAGAUAUGAUGCGAUUUGUUUAAACAUUGUUAUGGUAUGUUACAAUUGAGGUUCUCUAAGUGUUUAUGAUUAGGGUAUAUUCAAAAACUGGGUUUACAAGAAGAGAAAACUGGGUUCCAAGUAGCCUCACUGGUAAUGCUUUGGGUCUUUAUCUACUAUGUUUUAAGAUAAACCAAAUACUGGGCUUAUCUGUUGACAUUAAAAGAGUAACUAACAUUUUGAAUGCUGGUCCAUUGUCAUUUUUCUUAAUUGUUAAUUGCAUAUGUGUGUUUAGCACUUGACUUGUGUUGGCCCUAUUUUUCUGGCUAUUUUCCCUCCAAAAAAUCAUGAUUUCUUACUUAUGCUUAUUUUUUGUCCUUAUACAGCAUUACCGUGAGAACAUGAUGAUGUGGGUAUUUGGCUAUGGCACUCUUGUGUGGAACUAAUGAUUUCACUACAAUGAGAAAGUGUUAGGUUUCAUCAAGGGAUAGAAACGUAUCUAUGACUUUGGUAACUCUAUAGUCUUUGGUUAAGGCUUUCACUACGAAGCCGCAAAACAAGUCACAAACCAAUCCAUAAGUGUUUAAUUAACCAAACCGUGGGGUUCAAGAUGUUCUUAGGGGUCACUGCAUCAGUGACAAGCUGGUACGCAUAUGAGACUUGCUGCAGUAUAAUCUUGGAGGACUUCCCAAUACUUGCCAAGGUCUUUACUACUGCAAUGUCUUAAGUGGAGUCAUUAGAGGAGCUUUGGAAAUGGUUUCGAUGACAUGGACGUGUGAUGUUCUUCGAGGGGAUGAUGCUUAUGAGUUGCAGGAGAAGCUACUAAAACAAGUCGCAGAGGAGUACAACGAUGAUGAACAGUUCGUUCAAAAUUACAAAUUUGUGCGAGGGAACAAACUGAAUGUAACUACAAUGGACUACAAUAAAACCCAAUACUAGCCAACUUUUUCUAAAGACCAAAUAACCAUUUAGCUUGUGAUAUGAGCGUUUAGUGGAGCAGCCGAGCAGCCGCUUGCUUCUAUACCA